UCAUAUCAUACUUAAGUAUCAGUUCUUGUAUGAUCACCAAAGUUAAGCAACAUUGAGCCUGGUCAGUACCUAGAUGGAUGACUGCUUGGGAAUACCAGGUGCUGUAAG